rnacentral:rRNA from 1 species
AUCCCGGACUAACUGCAAUAAUUAUCCCGCCAGGGAAUUCCGACCUCAAGAUAAAAACUCAAGGGAAUUCCGGGCCACCAACCGCAGUAAUACGGAGGGUGCGAGCGUUAAUCGGAAUUACUGGGCGUAAAGCGUGCGCAGGCGGUUUGUUAAGCGAGAUGUGAAAGCCCCGGGCUCAACCUGGGAACCGCAUUUCGAACUGGCAAACUAGAGUCUUGUAGAGGGGGGUAGAAUUCCAGGUGUAGCGGUGAAAUGCGUAGAGAUCUGGAGGAAUACCGGUGGCGAAGGCGGCCCCCUGGACAAAGACUGACGCUCAGGCACGAAAGCGUGGGGAGCAAACAGGAUUAGAUACCCUGGUAGUCCACGCCGUAAAACGAUGUCUACUCGGAGUUUGGGUGUCUUGAACACUGGGCUCUCAAGCUAACGCAUUAAGUAAACCGCCUGGGGAGUACGGCCGCAAGGUUAAAACUCAAA